rnacentral:rRNA from 1 species
UGGGGAAUUUUGGACAAUGGGCGCAAGCCUGAUCCAGCCAUGCCGCGUGUCUGAAGAAGGCCUUCGGGUUGUAAAGGACUUUUGUCAGGGAAGAAAAGGAUAGGGUUAAUACCCCUGUCUGAUGACGGUACCUGAAGAAUAAGCACCGGCUAACUACGUGCCAGCAGCCGCGGUAAUACGUAGGGUGCGAGCGUUAAUCGGAAUUACUGGGCGUAAAGCGGGCGCAGACGGUUACUUAAGCAGGAUGUGAAAUCCCCGGGCUCAACCUGGGAACUGCGUUCUGAACUGGAUGACUAGAGUGUGUCAGAGGGAGGUAGAAUUCCACGUGUAGCAGUGAAAUGCGUAGAGAUGUGGAGGAAUACCGAUGGCGAAGGCAGCCUCCUGGGAUAACACUGACGUUCAUGCCCGAAAGCGUGGGUAGCAAACAGGAUUAGAUACCCUGGUAGUCCACGCCCUAAACGAUGUCGAUUAGCUGUUGGGCAGCUUGACUGCUUAGUAGCGAAGCUAACGCGUGAAAUCGACCGCCUGGGGAGUACGGUCNGCAAGAUUA